UCAGUCGGCCGGACGGCCGCUCCCGCAAGCGCCGAAAGGCCGCGGGGGAGGAAAGUCCGGGCUCCAUCGACAUGCGGUGCCGGAUAACAUCCGGCGGGGGCGACCCCAGGGAAAGUGCCACAGAGAACGAACCGCUCCCUCCUCGGAGGAAGUAAGGGUGAAAAGGUGCGGUAAGAGCGCACCGCGUUUCCGGCAACGGAGACGGCAUGGCAAACCACACCGGGAGCAAAACCGAAUAGGGACGGCAACGCGGUUAGUUCGCGCAUGCGCGAUAACACCGCAGGGCGAUGUCAGGCCCGCUGUCCGGGUAGGUUGCCCGAGGCAAGGUGCAAAUCUUGUCCCAGAGGAAUGGCCGUCGCGUACCAUUCGCAAGAAUGGUGCCCUACAGAACCCGGCUUACAGGCCGGCUGAUAUU
rnacentral:RNase_P_RNA from 1 species